GAAUCCAAAGCUGCUGCCUCAUUUAGCGAAUGGCAUUCAGGACUGAUCGGAUGAUAACUUCUGGGUUUAUUUUCACCAAUGGAACCCCACAGUCAAGGCUCCAGGGUCAGUGUCCAGACCAAGAUCCCCUGAGGCCUGCUCAAGCUGACAUGUUUUGUACAGCUUUUGGCUAUGUAGCCCAAAUUCUCAAUCCUCCUGUCUCCAUCGUUCCUCACUUAUAGACUUCAAGGGAUUGCACUUGAUGUAUCAAUUACGUCUCUGUUGCUACAGCAAAACGCCAUGGUCAGAGCAACCUAUGGAAGGAGCCUUAGGACCUUAGGAUUCCAGAAGAACAAGAGAGCCCACGAUGGCAGAGGAGAGGCCAGGCAACAAGCAGCAGGUGCAGGGCCAAAACCCAACUCCAGUGACACACUUCCGCCAGCAAAGUCACUCUGAACAUCACAGACAGUACCUGCUAGCCUUCUGUCCAAACUCCUCCCCACAGUUACCUGGCAACAGCCAGGUAGGCCUGGCCCACUAUAAAAGGGGCUGCUCGCCAUCUCUGUCUCUCUGUCUCUCUCUCUCUUGCCUUCUUUCCUUCCUUUCUUGCCUCUUGCUCUCUUGUUCCCUCUCUCUCCCCAUUCCCUUCCCCCACCUCCACGUGGUCAUGUCUGGCCUCUACUUCUGUGGCCCGUAGUCCAUCUCUGUCAAUAAAGUCUUAUUAACCCACCUCCAUA
rnacentral:lncRNA from 1 species